rnacentral:rRNA from 1 species
AGAGGGGGCAAGCGUUGUUCGGAAUUACUGGGCGUAAAGGGCGCGUAGGCGGCCUGUUAAGUCGAACGUGAAAUCCCCGGGCUCAACCCGGGAACUGCGUCCGAUACUGGCAGGCUUGAAUCCGGGAGAGGGAUGCGGAAUUCCAGGUGUAGCGGUGAAAUGCGUAGAUAUCUGGAGGAACACCGGUGGCGAAGGCGGCAUCCUGGACCGGCAUUGACGCUGAGGCGCGAAAGCCAGGGGAGCAAACGGGAUUAGAUACCCCGGUAGUCCUGGCCCUAAACGAUGAAUGCUUGGUGUGGCGGGUAUCGAUCCCUGCCGUGCCGAAGCUAACGCAUUAAGCACUCCGCCUGGGGAGUACGGUCGCAAGGCUG